UAGGUUAAGCUAGUAAGAGCGCACGGAGGAUGCCUAGGCACCAGGAGCCGAAGAAGGACGUGGCGAACAACGAUACCGCCUCGGGGAGCCGUAAGCAGGCUUUGAUCCGGGGAUUUCCGAAUGGGGAAACCCAGCUGCCGUAAUGGGCAGUUACUACUGAGUGAAUACAUAGCUCAGGAAGAGGCAUACCGGGGGAACUGAAACAUCUAAGUACCCCGAGGAAGAGAAAACAAAAGUGAUUCCGUCAGUAGCGGCGAGCGAACGCGGAUUAGCCCAAACUUGCGCACUUGUGCGCAGGGGUUGUAGGACGUCUCACAUGGAGUUACAAAGGUGUUUGAUAGGCGAAGAGGUCUGGAAAGGCCCGCCAGAGCAGGUAAUAGCCCUGUAGCCGAAAGCAAGCACCCUCCGAGACGGAUCCUGAGUACGGCGGGACACGAGAAACCCCGUCGGAAUCCGGCAGGACCAUCUGCCAAGGCUAAAUACUCCCUGGUGACCGAUAGUGAAGCAGUACCGUGAGGGAAAGGUGAAAAGCACCGCGGAAGCGGAGUGAAAAAGAACCUGAAACCGUGCGCUUACAAGAAGUCAGAGCCCGUUAUAGGGGUGAUGGCGUGCCUUUUGUAGAAUGAACCGGCGAGUUACGAUUACGUGCAAGGUUAAGGUGGAAAGCCGGAGCCGCAGCGAAAGCGAGUCUGAAUAGGGCGAAUAAGUACGUGGUCGUAGACCCGAAACCGUGUGAUCUACCCCUGUCCAGGGUGAAGGUGCGGUAACACGCACUGGAGGCCCGAACCCACGCAUGUUGAAAAAUGCGGGGAUGAGGUGGGGGUAGCGGAGAAAUUCCAAUCGAACUCGGAGAUAGCUGGUUCUCCCCGAAAUAGCUUUAGGGCUAGCCUCGAGGAAUGAGCGUCGUGGAGGUAGAGCACUGAUUGGGUGCGGGGCCCGCCAAGGGUUACCAAGUCCAGUCAAACUCCGAAUGCCAUCGACGUGCUACUCGGGAGUCAGACAGUGAGUGCUAAGAUCCAUUGUCAAGAGGGAAACAGCCCAGAUCAUCAGCUAAGGUCCCCAAGUGUGUGUUAAGUGGGAAAGGAUGUGGAGUUGCAAAGACAACCAGGAUGUUGGCUUAGAAGCAGCCACCAUUUAAAGAGUGCGUAAUAGCUCACUGGUCGAGUGACUCUGCGCCGAAAAUGUAACGGGGCUAAACACACCACCGAAGCUAUGACAUGUACCA
rnacentral:rRNA from 1 species